rnacentral:misc_RNA from 1 species
AACUGAUACUACCUGCGGGAACCUGCGGAAGGAUCAUUACCGAGUGCGGGCCCUCUGGGUCCAACCUCCCAUCCGUGUCUCUUGUACCCUGUUGCUUCGGCGGGCCCGCCUUCAUGGCCGCCGGGGGGCUUCUGCCCCCGGGCCCGCGCCCGCCGGAGACUCCAACAUUGAACACUGUCUGAAGGUUGCAGUCUGAGUUUUCAUAUAAGAAAAAUCGUUAAAACUUUCAACAAUGGAUCU